rnacentral:rRNA from 1 species
CCUACGGGUGGCAGCAGUGAGGAAUAUUGGUCAAUGGACGAGAGUCUGAACCAGCCAAGUAGCGUGAAGGAUGACUGCCCUAUGGGUUGUAAACUUCUUUUAUAUGGGAAUAAACUGUUCCACGUGUGGCAUUUUGUAUGUACCAUAUGAAUAAGGAUCGGCUAACUCCGUGCCAGCAGCCGCGGUAAUACGGAGGAUCCGAGCGUUAUCCGGAUUUAUUGGGUUUAAAGGGAGCGUAGAUGGGUUGUUAAGUCAGUUGUGAAAGGUUGCGGCUCAACCGUAAAAUUGCAAGUGAUACUGGCAGUCUUGAGUACAGUUGAGGUAAGCGGAAUUCGAGGUGUAGCGGUGAAAUGCGUAGAUAUCACGAAGAACCCCGAUUGCGAAGGCAGCUUACUAAACUGUGACUGACAUUGAUGCUCGAAAGUGUGGGUAUCAAACAGGAUUAGAUACCCGGGUAGUC